rnacentral:lncRNA from 1 species
AUUUACUAACACCCUAUAUAGUACCGUUUUUGAAACUAAAUUGAGUGUCUUUGAUCUACUAUAAUUAAAUUGAUAGCUAUCUAUUUGUCUAUUUCGUUAUAUGUAAAAUAAUUUAACUUACUGACUUAUAAUGUUACGAUAGUGUCACUGCAAGUAAAGAGACAGAUGGAAUUAGCAUUAGAGUCGAUUUUAUGGCAUUGGUAGUGAAUGUUAGUAAAUCUACAAAGGGAUAAAAAUUUGACGACUCUAAAUUUUUGAAUAUAAGGCACUAAGUGACUAUCAUACCAACCAACUGUUGAAGCAUGACAAUAUUGAACAGUUUAGGAUCUUUCACUGACAGUAUUUGUAUGAUUAUUUAUGUAAGAGUUUUAAAAGGCAAUAGCAAAAUAAAAUGGUGUACUGUUUGAUAUGGGAUAAAUAUAAUAAAAUAUAAAGAUAU